UCUGGGACAAGCCCUGGAAACGGGGUCUAAUACCGGAUAACACUCUGUCCCUCAUGGGGCGGGGUUAAAAGCUCCGGCGGUGAAGGAUGAGCCCGCGGCCUAUCAGCUUGUUGGUGGGGUAAUGGCCUACCAAGGCGACGACGGGUAGCCGGCCUGAGAGGGCGACCGGCCACACUGGGACUGAGACACGGCCCAGACUCCUACGGGAGGCAGCAGUGGGGAAUAUUGCACAAUGGGCGAAAGCCUGAUGCAGCGACGCCGCGUGAGGGAUGACGGCCUUCGGGUUGUAAACCUCUUUCAGCAGGGAAGAAGCGCAAGUGACGGUACCUGCAGAAGAAGCACCGGCUAACUACGUGCCAGCAGCCGCGGUAAUACGUAGGGUGCGAGCGUUGUCCGGAAUUAUUGGGCGUAAAGAGCUCGUAGGCGGCUUGUCACGUCGGAUGUGAAAGCUCGGGGCUUAACCCCGA
rnacentral:rRNA from 1 species